GCCGCGGUGGCGGCACCUCUUCUUGCGGUGGGAGCAGCGCCGCGCGCGCUGUCGAACCACUCGUCGUCGCAACGACACUGCCAGAUGGGGCUGUAAACAAGGCAUCGCAUUGCACGCUUUCGACCGUUUGGCGUUGUGUGCCGCACACGGUACAAUGCGCGCCACCAUAGGGGACCAAGCCGCUUCCGGCGUUGCUGCUCGUGUCGUCGUCGCCCUGUGCGUGCCCGACAAAGCGUGCUGAACCGGGCCAAAAUCCGACGGCUAAAAGAGGCCCGGCGCAUCGCGCGCACACAAACCGCCCACGAACCGACAGGCCUCUCCCGAUGGCGUGGCCGCCGGCGGGUGCGGGAUUGCACGGCGUCGCCAUGCGCGCUUGUUGUCUUCUUUGUCGCCGUUGCCCUUUGGAGAGGCGCGCGCUGUGCCCACUUUUUCCACCAGAGAGCAAGAAAAAUAUAUGGGCACCAGAAAUAGGCCCGUCGCGCGCUGUCCUCUGGUUGCCGGUCUUUUUUUUUGCUGACGAUGUUG
rnacentral:lncRNA from 1 species